AUUCCAGCUCCAAUAGCGUAUAUUUAAGUUGCUGCAGUUGAAAAGCUCGUCGGUUUUCGGGCGGGUUGCGCCGGUCUGCCUUUGGUAUGCACUGGCGUGACCCGCUUUUCUGUCGGGGACGUGCUGCUGGGCUUCACUGUCCGGCACACGGAGUCGACGCUGUUACCUUGAGUAAAUUGGAGUGUUCAAAGCAGGCAUACGCUCUGAACAUAUUAGCAUGGAAUAACGAUAUAGGACUCUGGCCUAUUCGUUGGUCUGUGGGACCGGAGUAACGACCAAUGGGGGCAGUCGGGGGCAUUCGUAUUUCGUUGUCAGAGGUGAAAUUCUUGGAUUUACGAAAGACGAACUGCUGCGAAAGCGUUUGCCAAGGAUGCUUUCAUCA
rnacentral:rRNA from 1 species